AUUGAACGCUGGCGGCAGGCCUAACACAUGCAAGUCGAACGAGUGGCGGACGGGUGAGUAAUGUCUGGGAAACUGCCUGAUGGCGGGGGAUAAGUACUGGAAACGGUAGCUAAUACCGCAUACCAUCAGAUGUGCCCAGAUGGGAUUAGCUUGUGGGUGGGGUAACGGCUCACCAAGGCGACGAUCCCUAGCGGGUCUGAGAGGAUGACCAGCCAGACUGGAAUUGUGAUCCGGUCCAGACUCCUACGGGAGGCAGCAGUGGGGAAUAUUGCACAAUGGGCGCAAGCCUGAUGCAGCCAUGCCGCGUGUAUGAAGAAGGCCUUCGGGUUGUAAAGUACUUUCAGCGGGGAGGCGUUACCCGCAGAAGAAGCACAGGCUAACUCCGUGCCAGCAGCCGCGGUAAUUC
rnacentral:rRNA from 1 species